rnacentral:snRNA from 1 species
GGAUGUGAGGGCAAUCUGGCUGCGACAUCUGUUACCCCAUUGAUCACCAGGGUUGAUUUGGCUGGGCAGGUGUCCCCUUCCUCCCUCACCGCUCCAUGUGCGUCCCUCCUGAAGCUGCGCACUCAGUUGCCUUCCCCAAAUAGAAAUCUACCCUGAAGCGGUCUCCUGAUACAGUGAUCCCUAAAACCUCCACCAGGAUCUCAAUCAAAAAAAGCUCUAUCAUGCCCCAAAUGUAACAGAUCCUAAGGAGCAGCUGUCUUUUUUU